rnacentral:rRNA from 1 species
UACGUAGGGGGCUAGCGUUGUCCGGAAUCAUUGGGCGUAAAGAGCGUGUAGGCGGUCCGGUAAGUCCGCUGUGAAAGUCGGGGGCUCAACCCUCGAAUGCCGGUGGAUACUGUCGGGCUAGAGUGCGGAAGAGGCGAGUGGAAUUCCUGGUGUAGCGGUGAAAUGCGCAGAUAUCAGGAGGAACACCUAUUGCGAAGGCAGCACUCUGGGACGUGACUGACGCUGAGACGCGAAAGCGUGGGGAGCAAACAGG